GAUGAACGCUGGCGGCGUGCUUAACACAUGCAAGUCGAACGGAAAGGCGCUGCUCUUGUUGGGUGCUCGUUUGCCGAACGGGUGAGUAUCACGCGUGUAACCUCUACUUGUCUUUGGGAUAACAUUUGGAAACACGGGCUAUAAUCGGAUAUGAGCUCCUGCUCCGCGUGGGUCGAUGGAAAGUUUCGGCGGUUGGGGCUGGUAUAGCGGGUUAUGCGCUUGUUGGUCGGGUAGUGGCUGACCAAGGUUUUGACGGGUAGCCGGCCUGAGAGGGGGAACAGCCACAUUGGGACUGAGAUACGGCGCAGACGCCUAUGGGACGCAGCAGUGGGGAAUAUUGCACAACGGGCGGAAGCCAGAUACAGCAACGCCGCGUGCGGGAUGACGGCCUUCGGGUUGUAAACCGCUUUCGCCUGUGACGAAGCGUGAGUGACGGUAAUGGGUAAAGAAGCAACGGCUAACUACGUG
rnacentral:rRNA from 1 species